rnacentral:rRNA from 1 species
GAUGAACGCUGGCGGCGUGCCUAAUACAUGCAAGUCGAGCGAACAGACGAGGAGCUUGCUCCUCUGACGUUAGCGGCGGACGGGUGAGUAACACGUGGGUAACCUACCUAUAAGACUGGGAUAACUUCGGGAAACCGGAGCUAAUACCGGAUAAUAUAUUGAACCGCAUGGUUCAAUAUUGAAAGACGGUUUUGCUGUAACUUAUAGAUGGAUCCGCGCCGCAUUAGCUAGUUGGUAAGGUAACGGCUUACCAAGGCAACGAUGCGUAGCCGACCUGAGAGGGGGAUCGGCCACACUGGAACUGAGACACGGUCCAGACUCCUACGGGAGGCAGCAGAAGGGAAUCUUCCGCAAUGGGCGAAAGCCUGACGGAGCAACGCGGCGUGAGUGAUGAAGGUUUUCGGAUCUUAAAACUCUGUUAUUAGGGAGGAACAAAUGUGUAAGUAACUAUGCACGUCUUGACGGCACCUAAUCAGAAAGCCACGGCUAACUACGUG